UUAUAAAAGAGACAGUUUAAAAAGUAAAACGGCUUCAUUUAACUUCAAAAUACCCCUAAAUCCUUAAAGGAACACGCCCACAUUUUGGGAAUUUAGCUUAUUCACCGUAUCCCCCAGAGUUAGAUAAGUCCAUACAUACCUUUCUCAUCCCUGUGCGUGCUGUAACUCUGUCUGAUGCAGCCCCCGCUAGCUUAGCUUAGCACAAAGACUGGAAGUGAAUGGCUCCAGCUAGCAUACUGCUUCCAAUAAGUGACAAAGUAACGUGGACAUUUUCCAAUUUAUGUGUUGUGAUUUGUAUAAAUUCACUACCAGUCUUUUGUUCUAAGCUUAGCUAGCAGGGGCUGCGUCAGACAGAGUUACAGCACACACGGAGAUGAGAAUGAUUGAGUAAUUUUCACUCUAGAGACCCUUGGGUGACCACCAAGGACGAAUGCAAACUCCAGUGAGUGUCUCUAAGGUAGAUCCUAAUGCAGAUGGAUGGAAUGUUGAUCCGCCUAACAUGCAAGGUAAAAGAGCAUUUGAUAGCAUAGUGGAUAAACAAAGCUUUUUUCAUUUUCAGAGCAUUUUCAAAAACAACAUAACACUUGCUAUUACAUUGUUAUAUAUUACAUGACCAUGUCUAACUCUGAUCCAUACAAAACAGAUUUUCUGUACCGAGAACUUUGGAUGACCACGUUUUCAAAAAUCUGACCUCAAUUUUAGUAACCAUUUAGAUAUUUUAGAUGUAGUCCGAGAGCUUGCUGACCCUCCAUUAAAAAUGUAUGUACGGUAUACUGUUCAUGUCCAGAAAGGUAAUAAAAACAUCAUCAAAAUAGUUCUUGUGACAUCAGUGGGUCAGUUAGAAUUUGUUGAAGCGGCAAAAAUACAUUUAGGUCCAAAAAUUACGACUUUAUUCGGCAUUGUCUUCUCUUCCGGGUCUGUUGUGAACCGUGUGCAUGACACUGCUUCCGUACGAUGCUGUUGGCUUGUUAUCUGGUGCACCCAAGCUUUUUUUUUCCGUUUACAGUCUGAGAGAGACGCUGUAAACAAAACAAUCUUCGCAAACAUGUCUGAGGAUAACACGUCAGC